CUCCAAACUCUACUAUGGGCAAGAACCAAAGAGCUGUCAAAGGACACCAGAGACAAAAUUGUAGACCUGCACCAGGCUGGGAAGACUGAAUCUGCACUAGUGUAUACUGUCAAUGUUGAAGCCACCUUGAAGAGGAUGUAGUCGAUCCUGAUUCCUUUCUCGAAGGGAGCGAUCACCUUUUGACUGAUGAAAGGAUUUUCAAGUAUGAGAGUCCUGAGGGUGCAUGUUGAGGUCGCCACCAAGGACCACUGCGUCGGCGCCGGCGGACGUGUGUCUGGACACACGACAUUCUGAUAAACUUCACCACACUUGAUAAUUAGGGAUUGGAAGAUGGGACUGUACCGGAUAAAUUGCUGUAGUUCCCAGGCUUGAACAACCCUGUGAGGCAAAUAAGCAUCUUUCUCCCGGGAAUACUCGGCGUGUAACUGCAAUGACAGAUGUCUGUUAACUCACCUGACGCUGGCGUACAUUCAGACAUUAUGGUGCCACCUACGUGAGUCAGAUAGAAGUUUGCAGUCAAUGUGCCAAUGUUCACGACAGCCAGACCCACAGCUUUGCCUCCAAACCAGUCGCCAUGGUGAGCCUGUGAAUGAUUAGACUUUUAAAACCUGAGGGGUCUGUCACACUGAAUUGCAAAUACACAGUAUACGCAUAAUUAAAAUAAUAAUUGAAACAAAUUUAUGGCAUCAAAAGAUGCACCAAUUGCUGAGGUGGAAAAGGGAAAACGAGGGUAGAUGAGGGGAAAAAACACUUAGGCCUUGGUUUAUGGAGCUAUGUACGUAUAUUUAAUGUAAACACAAUGUGAAUAAUUAAAUUCACAUGGAAUCAAGAGCGCGUGCCGAUUGCUUAAGUGGAAAAGGAAAACGAGGGAGGAUGAGAGAAAAAAACACUCAGAUCCUGGGGUCUUGUGUUGCAUAUAUACAGUAUAUACAGAAUGUGAAUAAUAAUUUUAAACAAAUUAUACGGCAAUACUCAGCAACGA